rnacentral:rRNA from 1 species
UACGAAGGGGGCUAGCGUUGCUCGGAAUCACUGGGCUUAAAGGGCGCGUAGGCGGGCCUUCAAGUCCGGGGUGAAAUCCUCCCGCUUAACGGGAGAAGAGCCUCGGAGACUGAGGGCCUCGAGGGAGGUAGGGGCGUGCGGAACUAUGGGUGGAGCGGUGAAAUGCAUUGAUAUCCAUAGGAACUCCGGUGGCGAAGGCGGCACGCUGGACCUCUUCUGACGCUGAGGCGCGAAAGCCAGGGGAGCAAACGGG